rnacentral:tRNA from 1 species
GCCGGCGUAGCUCAGUUGGUAGAGCAAUUGACUUGUAAUCAAUAGGUCGGGGGUUCGAAGCCUCUCGCCGGCU